AGCUGGAUGCCUCCUUCCAUUGUCUUGUCCCAUCUCUUCAGAUGACAGCUGUUUCAUAUCUUGCUUUGCUUGCUACCCGAUUCAUUUCUUCCUUCUCACUACAAACUUCAGUCUGGGACUCUUCUCCAUCAUCCCUCCGGAUUCAAAUGAAAAAGGUCGAUAGUCUCUCCCACCAGGAAUCCCCAUAAUCGUCACUGAGGGGAGAUCCAUCGCGAUUCCUAGCUUUAACACCUGCAGACCUGCAAAGGCUCCUGCUGCAAAUGGGGAUGGAACAUUUGUGUGCAGUACAGUCGUUGUUGCAAGGAGUUUCCCUGACCGGCCAUAAACCACCAGACCCGAUGCCGAUUUAAAGCUUCUUUUAUCAAAAGUUGCGUCGAAUUGAAUCGUCACCCUAAUAAUAGCCUCUCGUUGACUGUGACUUCUACCCGUAUUCAAGGUACAUUUUCUCUCCAUUAAACCUUCGAUUUCAGCUAUGUAUGAGUUUGUUCCUCGAGCUCCAGAUGAACCACAGUCCACAACAAAAUAUUUUACAUGUUCAGAAGUACUCGUCUUGAAGACUCAGGACAUUACCGAAAAAUAUGAGUGUUGUCUUCUUCCCCUCUUUUGCAAUGUGGACAUAUUGCAGUAUUAGUCACUCGUUUAUGCUUUAGAUUGGCUAGAGUAGGAAUAUAGUUCCAGGAUAUUCUCCAUAUUGUAAUUGUAAUUUUUCUAGAGCUUUUUAUAGAAAUCCUUAAGAUUGACCUGUAUUAAAUAAAUAUAAGGGUCCAAGCUAGCAUCUUGUAAUAGUUUGUAGGUACUCACUGAAAAUUCAUCAGAUGAUUCUCCUUUUCAUACUUGGAAAUCAUCAUGAGGUGUUUCCGCAAGAGGAAUCUGUAGAAUUUUUUGGGCAACGUCUUAUUGAAAGAUACUAUUA